UACGUAGGGGGCAAGCGUUGUCCGGAUUUAUUGGGCGUAAAGAGCGUGUAGGCGGUUAGGUAGGUGGGUUGUGAAAACUGGAGGCUCAACCUUCAGACGUCGACCCAAACCCCCUGGCUAGAGUCCGGAAGAGGAGAGUGGAAUUCCUGGUGUAGCGGUGGAAAUGCGCAGAUAUCAGGAAGAACACCCGUGGCGAAGGCGGGUCUCUGGGCCGAUACUGACGCUGAGGAGCGAAAGCGUGGGGAGCGAACAGG
rnacentral:rRNA from 1 species